rnacentral:rRNA from 1 species
UCGAGAAUCAUUCACAAUGGGGGCAACCCUGAUGGUGCAACGCCGCGUGGAGGAUGAAGGUCUUCGGAUUGUAAACUCCUGUCAUCUAGGAGCAAGACCUGGCGCUGAAUCGUCGACAGGGUUGAUAGUACUAGAAGAGGAAGGGACGGCUAACUUCGUGCCAGCAGCCGCGGUAAUACGAAGGUACCGAGCGUUAUUCGGAAUCACUGGGCGUAACGGGAGCGUCGGCGGCGUGGGCAGCAAGAUGUG